CCUCUUUCAGGGGGAGAUGGAUAGAAAAAUGUUUUUGGGUUUUCAAUUAAAAGAUGGGCCCCGCGGUGCAUUAAGUUAGUUGGGGGAGGAAAGGGUUCCACAAAGGCAAAGGAUGCAUAGCCGACCUGAAGAGGGUGAUCGGCCCCAAUGGGGAUUGAAACACGGCCCAAGAUUCCUACGGGAGGCAGCAGUAGGGAAUCUUCCGCAAUGGACGAAAGUCUGACGGAGCAACGCCGCGUGAGUGAUGAAGGCUUUCGGGUCGUAAAACUCUGUUGUUAGGGAAGAACAAGUACGAGAGUAACUGCUCGUACCUUGACGGUACCUAACCAGAAAGCCACGGCUAACUACGUGCCAGCAGCCGCGGUAAUACGUAGGUGGCAAGCGUUAUCCGGAAUUAUUGGGCGUAAAGCGCGCGCAGGCGGUUUCUUAAGUCUGAUGUGAAAGCCCACGGCUCAACCGUGGAGGGUCAUUGGAAACUGGGGAACUUGAGUGCAGAAGAGAAAAGCGGAAUUCCACGUGUAGCGGUGAAAUGCGUAGAGAUGUGGAGGAACACCAGUGGCGAAGGCGGCUUUUUGGUCUGUAACUGACGCUGAGGCGCGAAAGCGUGGGGAGCAAACAGGAUUAGAUACCCUGGUAGUCCACGCCGUAAACGAUGAGUGCUAAGUGUUAGAGGGUUUCCGCCCUUUAGUGCUGCAGCUAACGCAUUAAGCACUCCGCCUGGGGAGUACGGUCGCAAGACUGAAACUCAAAGGAAUUGACGGGGGCCCGCACAAGCGGUGGAGCAUGUGGUUUAAUUCGAAGCAACGCGAAGAACCUUACCAGGUCUUGACAUCCUCUGACAACUCUAGAGAUAGAGCGUUCCCCUUCGGGGGACAGAGUGACAGGUGGUGCAUGGUUGUCGUCAGCUCGUGUCGUGAGAUGUUGGGUUAAGUCCCGCAACGAGCGCAACCCUUGAUCUUAGUUGCCAGCAUUUAGUUGGGCACUCUAAGGUGACUGCCGGUGACAAACCGGAGGAAGGUGGGGAUGACGUCAAAUCAUCAUGCCCCUUAUGACCUGGGCUACACACGUGCUACAAUGGAUGGUACAAAGGGCUGCAAGACCGCGAGGUCAAGCCAAUCCCAUAAAACCAUUCUCAGUUCGGAUUGUAGGCUGCAACUGGCAUACAUGAAGCUGGAAUCGUUGGUAAUGGUCGAUCAGCAGGACGCGGUGACUACGUUGCCGUACUUUGUGCUCCUCGCUCGUUUCGUCGUGACACUUUACUCUCGCGUUUGUCCCUGUCGCUCGGUCUCGUCCCGCCGUCACCGUGCUCUGCGCCGCUAAGAUAUUAGUUCCGCCCCC
rnacentral:rRNA from 2 species